CGGUGCCUCGCACAGUCUCUAGCACAGCAGUUCUUCGGAUGUUUCAUCUCCAGAAUGUCUUGGUCUGAUGAGUGGGUGCUGAAGGGAAUUUCAGGUUAUAUUUAUGGACUGUGGAUGAAGAAAACGUUUGGUGUCAAUGAGUACCACCAUUGGAUUAAAGAGGAACUCGAUAAAAUAGUGGCAUAUGAACUGAAAACUGGGGGAGUUUUACUGCAUCCCAUAUUUGGUGGUGGAAAAGAAAAGGAUAACCCCGCAUCUCACCUCCACUUUUCAAUAAAGCAUCCACAUACACUGUCUUGGGAAUACUACACUAUGUUUCAGUGUAAAGCUCACCUCGUGAUGAGACUGAUUGAAAACAGAAUCAGCAUGGAAUUUAUGCUGCAAGUUUUCAAUAAACUAUUAAGUCUGGCCAGUACCGCUUCAUCCCAGAAGUUCCAGUCACAUAUGUGGAGCCAGAUGCUGGUCUCCACCUACGGGUUUUUGAAGUCCAUUUCCAAUGUCUCUGGCAAAGACAUCCAGCCCUUAAUAAAGCAGUGGGU
rnacentral:lncRNA from 1 species